rnacentral:rRNA from 1 species
GAUGAACGCUAGCGAUAGGCUUAACACAUGCAAGUCGAGGGGCAGCACAAGGUAGCUUGCUAUCUGGGUGGCGACCGGCGCACGGGUGCGUAACGCGUAUGCAACUUGCCCUAUACAGGAGGAUAACCCGUCGAAAGACGGACUAAUACUGCGUAUGCUCACAACUUGGCAUCAAGUGGUGAGGAAAGAAAUUCGGUAUAGGAUAGGCAUGCGUCCCAUUAGCUUGUUGGUGAGGUAACGGCUCACCAAGGCAACGAUGGGUAGGGGAACUGAGAGGUUUAUCCCCCACACUGGUACUGAGACACGGACCAGACUCCUACGGGAGGCAGCAGUGAGGAGGAUUGGUCAAUGGGCGCGAGCCUGAACCAGCCAAGUCGCGUGAAGGAUGACUGUCUUAUGGAUUGUAAACUUCUUUUAGACGGGAAUAACAAGAGUCACGGGUGACUCCCUGCAUGUACCGUAUGAAUAAGCAUCGGCUAACUCCGUG